GACUGCACGACGAUCAAUGGCCCAUGUAGGGGCUCUCUUAGGAAAAAGAGAGAGAGAGAGAGAGAGAGAAAGAUGGAGAGAGAGAGAAAGAGAGAUCCUCCGGGAUAUCGAGCUCACCUAUCCGGAAGCACGGACCCACACGCAUAUACACUACUACCACCACAACACUACCACUGCCACCACCACCUCUAAGAGAUCACCACCACUACCACCACCACCACCACCACCAGCACCACCAGUACCACCUCUAUCAGCAAUAAUACUUUAUACCACCCCAGAACCACCACUACCCGCUACCAAUACUAUACUAUUUCACGGGGGCACCGGCACCACGAAUUUUCUCAACGGCAAGAGAAAUAGAAGAAAAAAUGAAGAUGAUGAAGAAGAGUAAAAGAAGAAGAAGAAGAAGAAUAAACGAGAAAAGAAAAAGGAAAAGAAAGAAUAGAAAAAUGAUAGAACAACAAUAAGAAGUAGAGGAAAAGAAUAGGGGAAAAUGAAAGGAUAUGGAGAAACGAAAAAAAAUCAUAGAACAAUAAGAAGAAGAGGAAGAGAAGGAGAAGAUGGAGGAGAAGGAGUAGGAGUAGUAGUAGGAGGAGGAGGAGGAGGACAAGGAAGUGGUGGAAGUAGAACAAUAAGAAAAAUGGAAACGCAAUAGUAAGCGUGUGCCUACGUUAAGAGCGCCGUUUUCUGUAGUUUUAAGUCUUAAGCUUUGGGCUUAUAUUGGCCCGGGGUAUGAUAUCUCGCGAGAAAGCGCGCUUCCAGAGACACUGAUAUUAUUUUUAUAACACACAAACGUUUGCGGUGCGCGCGGUGCGGUGUGUGCCCCGUCGUAGGCCGCGCCCAGUCUACCCCCACCACAUUUACGGCCUCUUCUUCCCCCACCCAAAACGCCGACACCACCACCACCACUAUUACCACCACCACCACCAUCACCACCACCACCACCACCACCAACAUCACCACCACCUCUUCCUUCUUCUCUUACCUCCUUCCAUUCUACUCCCUCUCACUACCACCUUCUUCUCCUACCCCCUACUCCUCUAAACACCACGACCUUAGACUUUUUCCCCUCCUUCGCUGUGGCCGCGCGGAAAACGAUGGGAUCGAAGGGAAAAGAAGGUAUACGAGCAGAAAGACGCCGAUGAAAGAAAAGAGGAAGCCGCAAGGACGCUUCGCAAUUGGCCCACGACAAGAGUCGCCGUCUGGCGAGUGCCGAAAGAAAAAAAAGAUGGAUGACUAUGGGUGACUGAUGAUUGGUUGAUCGCAAAAGGAUGAAGAGGAUUGGUGGAAAUAUAUAUACGUAACAAUGUGAAUAUGAUAAUGAAGGAAAAAAUUAUUUCUUACGAAUAUAUUUCUGCGUAAGAAAAAUUUUCCCAUCAAGGUCAUACCAAAAAGAAAAUAUAAGGAAGAUUUAAAUUUAGCUCUUAACUCUCGGAAUCUUGGAGUUUUUUGGUUAUGCUUGAGCGUGUGUGCGCG